AUCAUCCAUGUCUUACACUAGAAUAUAGUUAUAAAAGUACAACUAGAAUUCUAGAUACUAAGAAUCUAUUCACCAACACCUACCUUAGGGAUUGCACAAUUGAGCUACCAGAAUUCCAAUGUCUAAAGAAUGAACAUAAAAAAAAGAAGCACUAUACUAGAUAAGGUUGAACAUAGAAAUUAAGAUUUGUUUUUGUUUGUUUGUUCAUGCAAGCAACAACUAAGUGAAACGACCACAUGAUCUGAUCUUUUUC
rnacentral:lncRNA from 1 species